rnacentral:rRNA from 1 species
AGAGGGUGCGAGCGUUGUCCGGAAUCACUGGGCGUAAAGGGCGCGUAGGCGGUUUCUCGCGCGUGCGGUGAAAGCCCGGGGCUCAACUCCGGGUCGGCCGUGCGAACGGAGGAGCUGGAGUCUGGUAGAGGUCGAUGGAAUUCCGGGUGUAGCGGUGGAAUGCGUAGAGAUCCGGAAGAACACCGGUGGCGAAGGCGGUCGACUGGGCCAGUACUGACGCUGAGGCGCGACAGCGUGGGGAGCAAACAGGAUUAGAUACCCUGGUAGUCCACGCCGUAAACGAUGGGCACUAGAUCCUUGGGGGAGCGACCCCCUGAGGGUCGGCGCUAACGCAUUAAGUGCCCCGCCUGGGGAGUACGGUCGCAAGGCUG